rnacentral:rRNA from 1 species
AGAGUUUGAUCCUGGCUCAGAAUAAACGCUGGCGGUGUGCCUAACACAUGCAAGUCGAGCGAGAAAGUUUCUUCGGAAAUGAGUACAGCGGCGGACUGGUGAGUAACGCGUGAGUUAUCUACCCUUAAGUGAAGAAUACCUUCGGGAAACCGAGGUUAAUACUGCAUACGUCCCUACGGGGAGAAAGGUGGCUUUAUGCUACCGCUGAAGGAUGAGCUUGCGUACUAUUAGCUAGUUGGUGGGGUAAAGGCCUACCAAGGCGAUGAUGGUUAGCCGGCCUGAGAGGGUGUACGGCCACAUUGGGACUGAGAUACGGCCCAGACUCCUACGGGAGGCAGCAGUGAGGAAUAUUGCGCAAUGGACGAAAGUCUGACGCAGCGACGCCGCGUGGAGGAUGAAGGUCUUCGGAUUGUAAACUCCUGUUAAGAGGGAAGAAAAGUCCAUUUUAAAUAAAGAUGGAAUAUGACGGUACCUCUAGAGAAAGCACCGGCUAACUUCGUGCCAGCAGCCGCGGUAAUACGAGGGGUGCUAGCGUUAUUCGGAAUAACUGGGCGUAAAGGGUGCGUAGACGGCAUAUUAAGCUCGUUGUUAAAUUCCCCGGCCUAACUGGGGUCCAGCAAUGAGAACUGGUGUGCUAGAGGGUGAGAGAGAGAAGUGGAAUUUCCGGAGUAGCGGUAAAAUGCGUAGAUCUCGGAAGGAACACCAAUGGCGAAGGCAGCUUCUUGGCUCAUACCUGACGUUGAGGCACGAAAGCGUGGGGAGCAAACAGGAUUAGAUACCCUGGUAGUCCACGCUGUAAACGAUAAUCACUAGAUGUUAGUCCAGCUUAGCUGGAUUGGUAUCAAAGCUAACGCGUUAAGUGAUUCGCCUGGGAAGUACGGUCGCAAGAUUAAAACUCAAAGGAAUUGACGGGGGUUCGCACAAGCGGUGGAAUAUGUGGUUUAAUUCGACACUACGCGAGGAACCUUACCUGGGCUUGACAUGCUUUUGACAGUCGUAGAAAUACGAUCUUUCUGGCUUCGGUCAGGACAACUGCACAGGUGCUGCAUGGCUGUCGUCAGCUCGUGUCGUGAGAUGUUGGGUUAAGUCCUUUAACGAGCGCAACCCUUGCUGCCAGUUGCUACUCUCUGAGAGCACUCUGGCGGGACUGCCUGGGAAACCAGGAGGAAGGUGGGGACGACGUCAAGUCAUCAUGGUCCUUAUGUCCAGGGCUACACACGUAUUACAAUGGCUAGUACAAUGGGUCGCAAUACCGCAAGGUGGAGCCAAUCCUCAAAGCUAGUCUAAGUUCAGAUUGGGGUCUGCAACUCGACCCCAUGAAGUUGAAAUCGCUAGUAACCGCGUAUAAUUACGGCGCGGUGAAUACGUUCUCGAACCUUGUACACACCGCCCGUCACACCACGAAAAUUGUUUGUGCCCAAAGUGGUCUUAGCCAACCUGAAAAGGAAGCGGACAAUUAAGGUAUGGACAGUAAUUGGGGUGAAGUCGUAACAAGGUA